AGGAUUAGGUAUGUCACGCACAACAGGACUCAAGACCCUCUGAAGUGUGAGUGGCCCCUCGGACGCUGGCUGCAGGCUCAGCUUUAUCAUCUUCUCCCUGGAGACUCCCCUGUGUUGUUGAGCUCAUCAUUCCGGACAAGGAAAUGAACUGAGACAAAAGGUCAGCGAUGCCCAGGCUGAGAGCCAGGAACCAAUGCAGAGUUCUUCAUCAGGAUGGGCCUUGUGACGAGGGCAAGCAUUUGCAUCCCGUUUAUCAAGACACCCCUUACAUUUAAAAAAAAAGAAAGAAAAAGAAACAAAUGAUUGAAAUAAAAUUUGAAGAAAAUGUUCAUAAACGAAGAAGGAGAGAGCUGUCCGGUGCCUGUAGUUUUCAAUGUCAGAUUCCUGUCCGAAUGUAUCCUGGACCCACAGAGGCACAUAAUCUUAUAAAGAAAAGUUCCCUAAAUGUCAGGGGCAGCCCCGAGAUGUCUCAGUCUCGCCGGAUGCAAACGGGAAGCCGGGCUUUUCCCAGGCGAACCGGCUCUUCUCGGGAUGGACGCCGCG